UAUCCAGUUCAAAACUCCCUUCUCAAGUCUCACUGGAUUUCAAGGGAUGGAGUAGCACAUUUGAGGAAAAAGUUAAGAGCAAGCAACCGAAGCAUUGAGCAGAAGGGGAACACCUGGCUUUAGAAGCUUCUCUGAAGACUCCAGCUGUGGAUGACAUCCAGUCUGUGCUGUGGGUGUCUUCAUUCCGGUCCAGAGUCCCUCUGAUGUCUUAGGCAUCUGGGGACAGCCUUCUGCUUUACCCAUUUUCAGGGCAGUGGUUGUCUCUCCUGAGCCUCUGCCUGUGGGAUUCCUUCCUGUUUAUCCAAACUGUAUGGGGUUCCAGACAAUGGAGGCAUAUAUCUCAGAUACAGACUGUAAACAUCUCCUAAACUCCAGAACAUUCGACUUGCAACCUGAGCCUCUCAGGUACCCUGAGGCUGAGGUGAUUCAGCUCACUAACCUUGGGUUCUGCUGACCUCCAGAGGGAGCCCCGGAGCAGCCAGACCUAGUACUCGCCAGCCAAAGAAUAGACGUCACUCUGAACGACCAUUGCCUUGACCAUGAGAUGAGGUUUUUCAUACCCAAGACCGAAACGUCGAUGGAUCGGAGGUUUCUGAAUAGUGAGCAUCUUCCAUGAGUAGGCAGUGCCAGGGAAGCCUCCUGUGCCCCUGGAUAAUAGGUAUUCAGACAAAAUGGUGUCUAGUAAAGCCGAGUUUGCACAGAGGAUCACAGUGGGAAUUCAGGCAGCUGUAUUACUUAGGAAACUCUAUGAGACAAACUUAGAGUAACUUGGAAUACUAUGACUCUGGGUAGACAUAUCCCUCUUUUAUGGUUGGUUUAUUAUACAUUAUUUACCAUUGUAGGAUCUUAUUAUCCUCUUAUUAUAAUCCAUAAUUAUUUAUGGUCAAUUUAUUAAGGAUGAAUGACCUGAGGGUAGGAACUACUACUGGCUUACAUAAAGGAACAAGGGUUAUGUUAUUUGAAGUGAGCGGGAAGGCUAAAGUCUCAGCGAUAAUUCAUUGUUCCUGAACUAUAAUAGCCUUUUAAACAGUCCAUAGUUUGAGAUAAUAUGGAGACUAGGCCAGGUUCUCCAGCUCUCAUCCUUACAAUCUGUUACCAGCCUUUUUAUCCUGGCCUUUGAGGAUGAAAUGAUAAAAGCCAUGCUGUUGCUGGCAGUCCGUGUCACAUAAUUCACCAAAGACUCUAAGAGCCGGAGGUGGUGAAUGGACACUAAGAGAGAAUGUCUUCUUAACAGAACAGGUGCACAUAUGAGCUCACAGCAGAGGAGCCUCAAGCCAGACGACACCGAUAGGGGAAGGUGGGCAUGAAGACCCAUUCCCGGAGAAUGGACUACUGACUGCUGAUGGCUGCCGGGAAAGGGAGAAUCAAUGUUUACCGAGUGUUGCCAUUAUUCAGUUGGUCAUGCUGCAUUGGGAAGCGACAUAUACAACAAUGUAUACAGUAGUACAAACAUGAUUUCAUGGGGUAAAAGGGAGGAGACAACAAGUUGGGUAGGUAGGGAAGGAAUGGGUGUGAAAGAAGGUGGGAAGAGGGUGGAAAUGGUUAAAACUCAUUAUAUGGAGCUCUCAAAACUAAACUAAAACUAAAAAUAGUAAUUUAUCCGUAGACUUGAUAUUGCAAAUAUGUUUUGAGACCAGGCAAGCUGUACAUUAAACAAGUAACUUGCUUGAGGACUAAUGUCAAGGGUAAUGCAUUUCUGCUUUGUGAAUAGGUUUCAACUGAGAAGAGAGAAUUCUCCAGUGAACUCAAUACCAUUUAGAUUGUUCAACUGUCAACUCUAAUCAUAAGAUACCAAAUUUCUGAGUAUCUCCCCUAAGAGUAGCAGCUGACAGGUCUUUUACUCUACAUUUUGGAGAGCACAAAGAUGCAGGUUUCCAGAAAGGAAGAAAGGACAGGAUAGAGAAAGUCUGUGGGGGUCUGGGAGACUGCUCAGCAGGUAAAGUGCUUGGUGUACAAACAUUUUAUCUUGAGUUUGCUAGUCCUGCCCAGACACCUAUAAUGUCAGUCCUAGAGCUCUGUGGCUUGCUGGCCAGCUGGUCUGGCCAAUGUGGUGAGCUAAAGUUUCAGUGAGAAACCCUGUCUCAAAAUAUGGGGUGGGCGUUGACGAGAGAAGAUACUUGGCAUCAAGCUCUGGCCUUCACACAUGCAUGUUUAGGCAUGUGUACUCACAUACCAGACACACACACAUAUGCAUGCAUAUACCCAGACCCACAUACUGGACACACAUACUUCACACACACACACACAUGUGCAUAUACUGCACACGCAUAGUCAGUAUUAUUCUUUGAAGUGAGGGAAAGUGACUUUUAUGAGAUUACAAUAUAUUUUAAUCAAAUUAUAAAAACAAUGGAAAUGGUCAUUCACCUAUUUCUUGAACUGAGCAACUUCACCUUUCCAGUGUCUUGCUUUCUUCAUAACCAAAAAGUAGAGUAAAGCAUGGUUACUCUGGAGUAACUUGGUGGGUGCUUCUAAAAGGUGAGGAAAAGAGGUGCCUGCGAAAGACAUGGCCAUUCUGGACCUUUGGUGUGCUUUAUUCCGUUCGGUCACACGGAAGACUCAGCCAGGCUGGAUCCACCCACUGGAACCUAGAACACCGACCCUAAAUGAGCAGCUACAAGUGUAACUCAAAGCUCAGGGCAGUAACUCAGGUGCACCCUUGGUGCAGAUUAUAGGGCCACCGCCAACGACUGCACAGUGUUACCCAAAGGAGAACCAUAAGAGUCCUGGGGCAUCAGCCCAAUUCUCUAACAUUGUAGCACUUCAGACAGACCUACAGGAAAGCUGCUGUCUAUCAAAGAAGGCAACACCAGCUCCGUGAAAGAAGGCUUUACUCUCUGUUUGGAACAGAGAAUUAAGAAAUACAUGUGUGCUUAUGCACACACAUUUGGGUGUGCACAUCUGUGGUUCUGUGAAGUUACACACAUGCACACAUGUGUGAAUGGGAGUGCACACACAAAAAUACCGGUAUGUUUGUAUGUAGAUUCCACACUUAACUUUAUGUCUCAGGUUGUGCCCAGGAACCCACUUCUUCAACUCUAAAUCUUUGUGACAAUUUUGUCAAAUAAAACCCAAAAUAUAAUAAAAAAAUUCACUUUAAUUAGUCACAGGAAUUACAAAGGUGAGGUAAUUUAUGCAUUUCAUGAGUUUUCAGAAAUGAAAAUGUGCUUGGGAAAUUGUGGAUUGCCUUAGGGUAAAGAAGAAAACAACAAGAGACACAAUCCCCCCUGCCCCAGGUUAUCAUGAGGAAGCCACUUUAUUAGGCUAUUUAAUACCAAUUUCCAAAUAUGAGCAGAAAGUCUCAGCCUGCAGACGGCUCCGGCUUCCUUAACUCUACCUCCAUUGCGAAUCUACAAGGAGUACUGCAUGGUGCAAGGCAGGACCUACGAUGUUCAUUAUGACUUCCUUGAAUCUAAGGAGUCUGGGGGUUUGCUUUCCAACAGUAAUGAAACGGCAAGCACGAGUGAACUCACAAGCUGCCUUGUUUUACAACCCAGAGGCUGCAGUGGAGACUGUGCGGGAAAGCAAAGGUAAGUUUCUGGGUAGUGUCUGUGCGUUUAUUUCUCUUGCAGAACUCUAAAUAGUUGCUUCCGCCCCAUAACGGUCCUCUCAGGGAGCCUCCGAGCUGUUUACAGAAUCCGAGAGUUCCUGCAGUACAUUUCCAUGAGCUCAUGAGCAGCUCCAGCUGUACCUUUUCCAUUUCACAUGUGCCCGAGAAUAUCUGUGCUGCUCAAGCCCUGCUUUGGGCUUGCGCUUUAAAGACAACGCAGCAGAAGGAAGGUGGUUAAUUACCGUGUCAUCAGGACAUCUUUACAAUCCCUGCUUUGGUCACUUCGUUAAAGCAAUCAGAAUGCCAUUUCUCGCCUGCCUCUCUAUGCUAAUCAGCUAGUUGAGACUCCUCCCCCUCCAGCCUCCCUUAAGAACUGUACACAUCCAGCUGUCACAGGGGCGAACUCCAACCAGGCAGAUUUAAACCUUGAUUUAACCCUGCAGCACUCUCCCCAUUUGCUUGUACGAUUCUCUGGCAGUCCUCUCUAUACUAGAGGGACUGAACGUCCUAUCAGAGAAGGACUUGAAAACGGCUAAAACUGACCAAGAGAGCUAAUUUCGCUGAGAGACAUCUUUUCUUUUUGUACGUUCUUAAAGGAGAAAGUUUCAGGGCGCUUUGGAAUAAACUAAGAAUUAAGUCGUGUUUCCAGCCAAAUAAGUUGGCAUCUUGGUAGACAGGAGGUGCAACACUGGUAAAUAUUUACUGCAGAAAUCUUAACCAGGAGAAACUCUGGCAUGUUCUUCGAGGGGUAAAUAUUUUACAUGCAAGGCAAGAUCUGCGCGUGCCUCUGUGUUCUUUCCAAGUGACUUCUGAAGAAGACAGUUUUAGAUAUCUGGCUGAGACGAAAUGCGCUAGCGGUCCCCAAGCCACAGCCAGAUCGUUGGUGCCAUGUCUACAACACCAAGGAAAGACGACAGCCACCUGUUCACCAGUGUGCGCCCUUGUCAGCUGAAGGUGCAGGAGGAGCAGCAACCACAAGCUUCUUCUUUGCUAUUUCUCAUCCAUUUAUCUGUAAUAUGGACAACACUGGUAAGUGUUAAUGUUUACAUCUGUGAAGUUCAUUAUGUUUUACGUAUAUCAAACCAGCAGCCAGCCUUGUGUUUUCUUGUGCUUUAAGAUUUACACAUGGCUUCAUCUAUGUUCUCACCUACUGCACUCGACAAAUGUGAUGAUGAUGAUGAUGAUGAUGAUCAGAUGCUGCCUGCUCUUUUUUGUUCAGUGGAGGGCAACCUUUCGUUUUAUUCAGGCUUUAAGAUGACAUUGUGGAGAACUACGUCCUAAGUUAUACAUUUUAAUGUCACUCAAAGCACUUGUAGACAUGUUGACUAACUGUUAUAUUCGAACUAUGGCCCAGCCAAAUCGACACAUAAAAUGAGCUUCUAAAACUCAGGGUAAAUACCUCAUUCUAAAGAUGUAUAGAGAGACACCCCCCCCCAAGCAUAAAUGACCUUCCUAAGAUUACAUCAUAAUUAAGGGCUACUUUGAAUGCUAGUUAUGUUUUGUGUAACUGUUUUCCAAAGUGUGUACCUCAGUGUUACAAUAUUUUGAUUUUUUUCAUAGGUUCGUAUCAAGGAAACUUUUCCACAAGCAUUCAAAAUGCCUUGGAAUGGUUCUUUGUGUCUUUUGAUUCUGACCUCGAGUCUUUGAGUAUCCUGUGGUUCUAUCCAAUUCUGACAUUACCAAGAGGUAGUAAAGACUCCACACGUUGAUCACACAAGGUUGCCCCAUUUCAGACACUCAUCAUUAGGAGUUUGCAAACUAAUCGUGCCUCUGCAAGAUCAGCCAGCAACAAAUUCAAAACGUCCCAGUCCUCCCCAAGACUUGAUAACUCGCCAGGAUGGGUGACAGAAUUCUGUGUUACUCGAUCACUAUUCCAUGACAGAGGAUGCAGAUUAUUAACUGGGUAAGAGUUGCAAGACUGGGAGGAUUAUGAGCACAGAAGCUGGUCUCCAGGGUGUCAGUUUGUGCCCUGCUCCCAUAUGCUGACAGAUUCAUUAGCCUGCAGGAUCCACUGGUCAGUGUCUGAAGUUUUCAUAUGAGUUGCAUUGUGUCGCUGUGAUUGAUGAUGUCAUUGAUCAUGUGAUGGGGCUCAGCUAUCAUCCCUUUUCUAGAUGCCUUCAGUGGGCAGGAGCUGAACAGUUCAGCCUCCAAUAAUAGGCCUAGUCUUCCAAUGUGACCAGUGCUAUCCUUAAAAAUAUCUAAGAGUCUAAUUGCCAUUUCAUUCACAAAACAAAGACACAUCUGCCACUCAGAAAAUUCAAAGUUUGUGAAGCGCUGUGAAAGAAA
rnacentral:sRNA from 1 species